UCAACUUGAGUCACUGGACAUAGCAUCCAAGGUGAGGUUGGUCCACUCUUUACAGCAGCUUUGUCAAGCAAUCUGCCAGUGCACAAAUAUGGAGAUUAAGGUGGCUGGUAAUGAGUUAUAACAACUGUGGAAAAUAAUAUUAGAUCUAGCAGACCCUUCUAUCCCUAGUUCGUGAAGCUCUUUUGGAUCAUUUGGGAGGCUAACCUUCCACUUCCUAACAGAAGCCACAAGUACUUGUGCCAUCUUGGUGAACGGACUCCCUGCAGGCAAUUUGUGCCUAUAGAAUGAAUUGCCGGCCAAGAACAUAAUGAUCGAAAGUGCGAGCCCCAUGGUAGGAAUGCCAUAACCAAGGGCCCAAUUUACGUUGUCUUGUAUGUAAACCAAGAAUGUGUUUGAGAAAAGAGUGCCAAAGAAAAUACUGAACAUCCACCAGUUGAAGAAUGAGAGCUUCUGCUGCUUUUCCUUGGGUUCAAAAUCGUCGAAUUGGUCUGCCCCCAUGGUAGAGAUGUUGGGCUUGGUUCCACCAGUACCAACUGCUAUUAUGUAUAGUGCACCGUAGAAUAUGCCCUUCUGUAAGGCUGAGGCCCUUUUGUCACAUCCCUCGUCUUUGAUGCCAUGACCGCAGGAUGGUGGCCUCAGGGCAGGCACCGAAACAGCCAGGGUUAACAGGGACAUUCCCUGUUUGGUUAUACAUGUUCGAGGAUCAAAUGAUCAGUUACUUUGAAGCCAUGAGAACAUUGUGGAAUAUAAUACACUCAAUGAUUCUACGAUGGCGUAUAUGAUGCAUAAUCCGAACAUACUUAAUGAGAACAUGGAUCGAGGGCUAAACCUUGGUUUAGUUUUGCGAUUGAAAGUGUGUUUGGACUGUAAAAGCAUCAAAAUCGAUGAUUGUUUAGG